GACGAACGCUGGCGGCGUGCCUAAUACAUGCAAGUCGAGCGAAGUUUUUCUGGUGCUUGCACUAGAAAAACUUAGCGGCGAACGGGUGAGUAACACGUAAAGAACCUGCCUCAUAGACUGGGACAACUAUUGGAAACGAUAGCUAAUACCGGAUAACAGUAUUUCUCGCAUGAGGGAUAUUUAAAAGUUGGUUAUGCUAACACUAUGAGAUGGCUUUGCGGUGCAUUAGCUAGUUGGUGGGGUAAAGGCCCACCAAGGCGACGAUGCAUAGCCGACCUGAGAGGGUGAUCGGCCACACUGGGACUGAGACACGGCCCAGACUCCUACGGGAGGCAGCAGUAGGGAAUCUUCCGCAAUGGGCGAAAGCCUGACGGAGCAACGCCGCGUGAGUGAAGAAGGAUUUCGGUUCGUAAAGCUCUGUUGUUAGGGAAGAAUGGAUAUGUAGUAACUAUACAUGUAAGAGACGGUACCUAACCAGAAAGCCACGGCUAACUACGUG
rnacentral:rRNA from 1 species